rnacentral:rRNA from 1 species
UACGAAGGUCCCAAGCGUUAUCCGGAUUUAUUGGGUUUAAAGGGUGCGUAGGCGGAUUAUUAAGUCAGUGGUGAAAGCCCCAAGCCUAACUUGGGAAUUGCCAUUGAUACUGAUGAUCUUGAGUACAUUUGAAGUGGGCGGAAUGUGUCAUGUAGCGGUGAAAUGCUUAGAUAUGACACAGAACACCGAUUGCGUAGGCAGCUCACUAAACUGUAACUGACGCUGAGGCACGAAAGCGUGGGGAGCAAACAGG